UUUCCUUUCGUACUAUGUUGGAUUGUUCACCCACCAAUAGGGAAUGUGAGCUGGGUUUAAACCGUCGUGAGAUAGGUUAGUUUUACCCUACUGAUGACAGUGUCGCAAUAAUAAUCCAACCUAGUACGAGAGGAACCGUUGAUUC